UGGGAAUUUGGACAAUGGGCGAAGCCUGAUCCAGCAAUGCCGCGUGUGUGAAGGAGGCCUUCGGGUUGUAAAGCACUUUUGUCCGGAAAGAAAUCCUUGGCUCUAAUACAGUCGGGGGAUGACGGUACCGGAAGAAUAAGCACCGGCUAACUACGUGCCAGCAGCCGCGGUAAUACGUAGGGUGCAAGCGUUAAUCGGAAUUACUGGGCGUAAAGCGUGCGCAGGCGGUUUGCUAAGACCGAUGUGAAAUCCCCGGGCUCAACCUGGGAACUGCAUUGGUGACUGGCAGGCUAGAGUGUGGCAGAGGGGGGUAGAAUUCCACGUGUAGCAGUGAAAUGCGUAGAGAUGUGGAGGAAUACCGAUGGCGAAGGCAGCCCCCUGGGCAAUACUGACGCUCAUGCACGAAAAGCGUGGGGAGCAAAACAGGAUUAGAUACCCUGGUAGUCCACGCCCUAAAACGAUGUCAACUAGUUGUUGGGGAUUCAUUUCCUUAGUAACGUAGCUAACGCGUGAAGUUGACCGCCUGGGGAGUACGGUCGCAAGAUUAAAACUCAAAGGAAUUGACGGGGUCAUAGCUGUUUCCU
rnacentral:rRNA from 1 species